rnacentral:rRNA from 1 species
UACAGAGGGUGCAAGCGUUGUUCGGAAUCAUUGGGCGUAAAGGGCGUGUAGGCGGUUUGUUAAGUCAUGUGUGAAAUCCCUCGGCUCAACCGGGGAACGACGCAUGAAACUGGCAAGCUAGAGUACCAAAGAGGAUCGCGGAAUUCCCGGUGUAGAGGUGAAAUUCGUAGAUAUCGGGAGGAACACCAGUGGCGAAGGCGGCGAUCUGGGCAGAUACUGACGCUGAGGUGCGAAAGCGUGGGGAGCGAACAGG